UGGGGAAUAUUGCACAAUGGGCGAAAGCCUGAUGCAGCGACGCCGCGUGAGUGAAGAAGUAUUUCGGUAUGUAAAGCUCUAUCAGCAGGGAAGAAAAUGACGGUACCUGACUAAGAAGCCCCGGCUAACUACGUGCCAGCAGCCGCGGUAAUACGUAGGGGGCAAGCGUUAUCCGGAUUUACUGGGUGUAAAGGGAGCGUAGACGGCGAAGCAAGUCUGAAGUGAAAACCCAGGGCUCAACCCUGGGACUGCUUUGGAAACUGUUUUGCUAGAGUGUCGGAGAGGUAAGUGGAAUUCCUAGUGUAGCGGUGAAAUGCGUAGAUAUUAGGAGGAACACCAGUGGCGAAGGCGGCUUACUGGACGAUAACUGACGUUGAGGCUCGAAAGCGUGGGGAGCAAACAGGAUUAGAUACCC
rnacentral:rRNA from 1 species